CCCCCCCCCACACACACACACACACAAACACACACACACACACACAUACUGUAUAUACACACUCACACACACACAUAUAUACACACAUACACACACACACACACACAUACACACACACACACACACACACACACACAUAUAUACACACACACACACACACACAAACACACACAUACAUAUAUACACACACACACACACUGCGUAAAUUGUGGCCUGAAGACAUCCCAGCUAGGGUCCUAGUAUGGAGCACCUGGCAGCGUCCGAACCAGCUUGUACCUACAGUGCGUUUAAUUGUAUUUCAGAUGAUUUUUUAUUUACAUUUACCCACAUACAGUGCUGCUUGAAAGUAUGUGAACCCCUUGAGGAGUUUAGAGUUUUCUGUUGUUUUACCAUGAUUUUCCUAUUUUAUCAUCACCAGUUUUCCAUAUAUGAAAUGUCAGGUUUAUGUUUAUCAAUUGCAUGUACUUGUUUAGAGGGAAUUGUGUGAGUAGCCAAAAAAACUACAUGAAACAUGAAAUUAGUGUAUGUGCAAAAGUAAGUGAACCCCCAGCUGCAUUGGGAAAGUCAAGUAGGUAACAGAUUCAGGUGAAACACAUUUGGGUGCUUAAUUAGUCAAUUAAGCAUACCAAUCAAAUGAGACAAAAAAAGGUGAUAUAUGAUUCUGUUUGUUCGCCGUACCCAUGAACACAUGUAGGUGUAUUUAUAUCUGCCCGAAAUAAAGAGAUGAAUCAGAAGAUCAGAUCUUCAAAUAUACAGUUUUACUUUCAUAGAGCAUUUAUAAUUUAUAUAUAAAUAUAAAUCAAUUUUUACAUUUAUGUUUCCAAGGUGAAUUUAACUUAACAAUUAAAGAUUUUUUUUAACAAAUACACAUAUUUAGUCAUCAGGUUCAAUUGCAUUUGCAUUAUUUGCAUAUGACUGGACGGCCAUGUUUAAUGUGUGUGUGAGUGUGUGUGUGUGUUUAAUCUAAGAAAUGUAAUUUUGAAAAGACUUUGUAUAUUUUCAUUUGUUCAUUUGUUCAAUUUGAACAGAUUAUUCAGUUUGAACAGAUUAUUUGAUCGAGGACAGAGUAAGCCCAUUGGCCAAUCCCACCCUUGGGGGAGUGGUUACCACACAUGGGGGUGUGUCUCAUUCUAGUGCAAAAUGUUGGGGGAGGGCCUCUUUCCAAAGUGGGCUGGACUUCCUUCGUCCGUCAGCUUGAAGGCAGGAAGCCUGGACCUGAGAGAAGAAAACACACACACACACACACGCACGCACGCACACACACACACAGAGAGAGAGAAUCAGUCUAAAAACUCAUAGAGUGGGAGUAGAGAGGCCUGUACCUCCCACACACACACACACACACACACACACACACACAAACACACACACACGUGUACAUAUGUACUAGGGAUGCCCCCAGGUUCUCACUACGGCCUGUGGAAAGAAUGGACAGCACAGCAUCAUGUCCUUCUGUUACAUAGAAAUGAAGCCAAAAUGUGUCAAAAUCAGAUUAGAGCUGCCAUUAAAGUUAGAGCCAGAUUCUAAACACAACAUCAGUCAGGUCACCCAGAACCAGGGCCCUGUUCGUCGUAACUCGUUUAGCGAGUUGCCGAUAUAAUUUUCAGGAUGAGAUAAUAUAAGUCCCUCUUUUCGGUUCGUGGAAGCAACUUUGGAUAAAUCACCAUAGCAACACAUCAAUAAACUUGAACCGGCUCCAGCGCAGGCUCAUUUAAGUGAAGCUGGAUAAGCUUGCCACCCCCCCGGAAAAAGGAGAGCUCCCAUUGACCAAGCAGCCAUAUUAGUUAGAUUAGCCUUCGUCACACUGUGUGUGUGUGUGUGUGUGUGUGUGUGUGUGUGUGUGACCCAACAUCAGUCAGGUCCACCCAGAACACCACAUCCCCAUAAGGGUCUGGCCAUUAGGAGAAAUGUGUAUAUGUAAGUGAGUGUGUGUGUGUGUGUGUGUGUGGGAGGGUGCCAAUGUGUGUCCUCCGGUUUGAGGAGGCACAUGGUGUGACGUGUUGUGACAUGUUCAUCCAGAAAUCAGGGUGUGCUGGGUUUGUACAACAAGAGGCGUGUGUGAGUGUGUUUGUCCAAUGACGAACGCUACCUGUAUAUGUGUGUGUGUUUAUGCAUAUCUGUAUAUGUGUAUGUGUGUGUGUAUCUGUAUAUGUAAGUGUGUGUGUGUGUGUAUGUAUAUGUGUGUGUGUGUGUGUGUGUGUGUGUGUGUGUUAAUGUGUAUCUGUAUAUGUGUGUGUGUGU
ensembl:lncRNA